GCUCUCUCUUAAAACACAUGCUCCCUCUACCGAAAAACGCAAAGGCUUUCUCUCCUUCUCUCCACCGAAAAUGCAAAGUGCACUGUCAUCGAUUCCACACCAGCCAACUCCAGCCACUCCAGCCACCCGCUAUCGUCAAUUACAUUCUAGCCACCCGCCGCUGUCAAUUCCACUCCAGCCGACUCCAGCCACCUGUCGAUUCCACUCCAGCAACUACCGUCGUUGACGCCACAACAAGCCUUCACCAUUAAACCCAUCGUCUGGUACAAGAUCUUCUGCCGUCCAGUGCUUCAUUCCAGUUGUGCUUCUUCUUUGUUUUAUUUGGUAGUCUAGUAGAAGCAACCGUUGACCCAAUUGGAAAUUGGAAACUUUGGCCUUUCUCUUUUAAAAGAUCUAAUUCUAGGAAAGGAACUCAACCAGCUAUUGAUGGAGGCAUACAUUUUGAUAUUAAGAAGGCUUCAAAUAGAAAUAAUGAAUUGAAUUGAGAAGCAAGCAUUGUUAAGCACAAGGUAGAGAAACAAAUGGUUAACCCUCUCACCGACAUAGUUGGCAUCCUUCAAUCUCAAUGAAAGGGGAGCACAAUAAGUUUCACAUUUUACAUUACGGUGGAAAACAGUAGCAAACUUGGUGUGCCAUUUAAAACUACUAUGUCAGCAACAGUUUUGGAAGAGGCUCUUAAUGGGGUUGUGACUGUUCAUCCACUUCUAUUGGGCACUCCUAUUUCUAAAAGGCAGUCUAAAAAAAGCUACCAUCUCAGUGCCAUAUAAAAACAAAUGAGGAGAUUUCCUUAAGAGGGGAGAGAAAAAAGGAAGAGAUUUUUUUGGAAGAAGGGGAAAUCGAUUGAAAGGGUUAAAAGAAACGCGAAGAAACUAUUCUGCCAAUUUGUUCUUCAAAGAUAAGUUUUUUUUUUCUUUCCUUCUUUUCCUUUUUGAUUAUAAUGUAGAUUUUUUCCAAUUUUUUUUUUUUGUUUUUUAAUUCGUUGAGUUGUUUUUACAGUGCCUUUAAUUUUGUUAGGUUAGGUCAUUUGAAUGUUGUUGCAUCAAACUAUGUCUCUACUUUGUAUUUUAAUUUUGUUAGGUUUAAGCCAUUUGAAUAUUGUUACAUCAAAUUAUGCCUCUAUUUUAUGUUUUAAUUUUAUUAGGUUUAGGCCAUUUGAAUGUUGUUGCAUUAAAUUAUGUUUCUGCUUUAUGUUUUAACUUUAUUAGGUUUAGGCUAUUUGAAUGUUGUUGCAUCAAAUUAUGUCUCUGCUUUAUGUUUUAACUUUAUUAGGUUUAGGCUAUUUGAAUGUUGUUGCAUCAAAUUAUGUCUCUGCUUUCUAUUUUAGUUUUAUUAGGUUUAUGUCAUUUGAAUAUUAUUGCAUCAAAU